UUAACACAUGCAAGUCGAACGAACAUAUGCGGGCUUUAGCUCACAUAUGUUUAGUGGCAGACGGGUGAGAAACGCGUGGGAACGUACCCUAAAGUUCGGAAUAACUAUUGGAAACGAUAGCUAAUACCGGAUGUGACCGAGAGGUUAAAGGUUUACCGCUUUGGGAGCGGCCCGCGUUAGAUUAGCUAGUUGGUGGGGUAAAGGCCUACCAAGGCGAUGAUCUAUAGCUGGUCUGAGAGGAUGACCAGCCACACUGGGACUGAGACACGGCCCAGACUCC
rnacentral:rRNA from 2 species